rnacentral:rRNA from 1 species
AUUGAACGCUGGCGGCAGGCCUAACACAUGCAAGUCGAACGGUAACAGGAAGAAGCUUGCUUCUUUGCUGACGAGUGGCGGACGGGUGAGUAAUGUCUGGGAAACUGCCUGAUGGUGGGGGAUAACUACUGGAAACGGUAGCUAAUACCGCAUAACGUCGCAAGACCAAAGAGGGGGACCUUCGGGCCUCUUGCCAUCGGAUGUGCCCAGAUGGGAUUAGCUAGUAGGUGGGGUAACGGCUCACCUAGGCGACGAUCCCUAGCUGGUCUGAGAGGAUGACCAGCCACACUGGAACUGAGACACGGUCCAGACUCCUACGGGAGGCAGCAGUGGGGAAUAUUGCACAAUGGGCGCAAGCCUGAUGCAGCCAUGCCGCGUGUAUGAAGAAGGCCUUCGGGUUGUAAAGUACUUUCAGCGGGGAGGAAGGGAGUAAAGUUAAUACCUUUACUCAUUGACGUUACCCGCAGAAGAAGCACCGGCUAACUCCGUG